UACGUAGGGUGCAAGCGUUAAUCGGAAUUACUGGGCGUAAAGCGUGCGCAGGCGGUGAUGUAAGACAGAUGUGAAAUCCCCGGGCUCAACCUGGGAACUGCAUUGUGACUGCAUCGCUAGAGUACGGCAGAGGGGAUGGAAUUCCGCGUGUAGCAGUGAAAUGCGUAGAUAUGCGGAGGAACACCGAUGGCGAAGGCAAUCCCCUGGGCCUGUACUGACGCUCAUGCACGAAAGCGUGGGGAGCAACAGG
rnacentral:rRNA from 1 species